UAAAUCCUAUGGUACAAGGAAGAAAAGGUGAGAAAAAGAUCAAAGAUACAUGGAUUACAUAAAAGGUAGAAGUAAAACAUGGUCACUUUUCUCUGUACUGUAUGUAAUCCUACCCACAUAUCAAUGAACUCCCCACUACAAUGCACCCUGCUACAUACAUGCCCUCCCUUCUGCCACCGGAUGGGUUGUUACAGCCAGUGCCCAGAUCCUUAGAAGUACAUAGACAUCUAACUCCCAAUGGGAGAUCAAUGGGAGUUAAACACUAAAAUACCUUUAAGGAUCUGGCCCUCGGUUACUAUAGGAUCUGAGAUUCCUGGUUGUCAUAGGUGGAGAAUGAUUUGCGUAAUUAGCUGUAUUUAUGCAUCACUUGAGCAUAUUGUAUAAAACUAGCACUUAUUUUGGCUCAUAUCUGAUAGCCUGUUCUAUGUGCCGGGGGAGGGGAAACCCAGAUAUAUUUGCAUAUAUAUAAUAAACAUAAUUUCCUUUGUAUAUUUUUGCCUUCACAGGAGAGACAUUCCAAUCAGUAUGCAGUAGUUUUAAACAAUACAGUUUUAUUAUUGAACUUAACCCUUGAAUCUCAUUUCACUGUGAGUUUUUCUUUUCCCUGUGCCUAGUCUCUGCAGCCACAUUCUCUGUUAGAGCUGAUCUGGCUAAAUACCACUGUGUAAAUUAUUAUCCAUUGUCUGGAUUAUAUUUCCAGUGAAUGGAGUGUCAGCCAUAGAGGACCCGAUCCUGUGAGAUGCUGAAUGUCCUUUAUUUCACUGAAAAAAACUAGAAUUUAAGCUCCCAUUGAACUUGAGCUUAACACAGCAGAGCCUAAGAAUGUGAGAGGACAUAAAGCUUCAGUGUUAAAGAAUUUGUUUUUCCUCCUUUUUUUCCUUUCAUAAAAUUUGCUUUUAUCCAUGAAUAUUCUCCUUCGUGCUCUGCUGGUGGUCCAGUGUGAUAACGGACACUGUGCAAGAAGGAGGGAGCCAUCUUUAUUCAUAUGCAACACAGGGCAAAUGAAUUCUCCACCACAAAGAAACUGCCUUUCUAGAGACUGAAGUUACAACCUGGAAAUCCACUAUCUGAAUUCUGUGACGAGGCAGUGGAGCAAUUAAAAUCAACCCCUCAGAAGUUAGCUAAUUAAAGAUAAACACUCUUUUCAGGAAGAAAUGUUCUCAAACUUGCAGGGGACUAGGGGAAGCUGGUUCAGACCCAUCUCAUACAGUCAGGGUUGAAAAGUCUCUUUCUCAUACCUACUGUUUAUACAGUGUAGUGCACAAAUAAGAUGCUUCAGUAUAGAUGAAGACCCUACUUCCAAGACUUUCUAUCUAAAUGACAAAAUACAGGUCUCCGUUCUAUUGUCUAACCGCACAAUGGAUCAGGACUUGGCUGGAGAAUGGGGGAGUUUUGCCUAUUUACACCGCACUCAGUCAUUCUAUAUGGAUGCUUUGUGGCACAGGGAACAUCACAAAGCCAAGCAAGGCUUGGGAUAUUUUAAUUCUCCAUGUUUCUGAACUCUGGACUAUAUCUUUUUUUUUUUUUUUUACAUGAAGAGUGUCUGACCCAUUCAAGUGAUUCUGUGUUAUUGUAGUGAAAACAUCUUGGUGUAACUACAGUGAAGACUCCACCUACUAACCACUUGGCUACGGUUAGAGCACUGUUUAGAAACUGUGUUGUGUGCCUGCAAACGUACUGCCCAGUUUUAAGUGGGUUUAAUGUAGUGUCAGAUAGCUAGAACAAAUAUGGCUGCAUACACUUAGAAGAUGUCUAGUAUCAUAGCUACCACCCAACUUGCAACUGGUGUCCAAUACUUCAGUUACUAGAUUGUGGGAAGGAUUAGGUAAAGAAAAACAACUUUCAACAGGAAACAGACUUUCCAUUGUGGCCUCAUUGUACAUUCUCUGUGCUGCCUUUUCUGCUCAGUAACACAGGCCAGUUUUGAACACUCUAAAUUGUCAAGAGCUGCAUGGGUUUCCCAGAGUGUGCUUUGUCUGACAAUACAGAAGACGGGUUUUGUUAACUGACUUGAACUCAUUGUCCUUGCCCUCCUGUCCCCACCACCAUCAUCUCUGCAGCCCAGCCCCGCACACCCUCCAUGGCUCCGUUACAGUGUUUGGGUUCAUGAAGUACAAAUUAGCAUAAUCAGAUUAGCUGCAGGGGUUGUCCAUUUGAAAAGGAAAGAAAAGAGAAAAAGUGUUUCACAAAGAGCAGCCCUGAGCAGGGCAGAAGGGGCUGUUAUUGCUGUUGUGCCAUGGCUCUGAAAACCUGCACCUGCAUUGCAAGCAGGUCCUCUUCUAACUAAGGACUCUUAGAUGGUAUUAAAACAUGGAACUAGGGGAGGAGGGGAAAGAAAGGGUGAAAGCAAGCAAGCCAGAAAGCAAGAGUCAGCCCUGCAUACCAUUAAUUGAUUUAUCUGGAUUGGGAAUGUGCCGUUUGCUGACAGUGGAAAACGCUGUUUGAUUCCUACUCAGCAUGGAGAGGAGAUCAGCCCGGUAAUCUGGUCUAUCGAGAUAAGAGUUUUAGAGCCUCUGCAGGGGACUGAUAAGAAACGCAGGAGGAAUGAGGCCCAUUGGCUGUUUUGAUUUUGCUGGUUUUGUGCUUGGUUUGCAUUUCAAAAUCUGGGGGAAUUCUCCAUUUGGGGAUGACAUUUCCAUCGUAAUAACAUUUUAAUUGCCAGUCCUUCAGUUUUGCAAGCACUCUUUUAAUUAAAAAUAAAAUGAAAUGAAAAUAAAAAGGCAGACUGAUUCACAUCCCUGCAGGAAGCGGACAACAGGUACAAGUCAUCGCUUCCUUACCAUUUGAAUCUAGUGCAAAGCUUUCUGGAGGUGCUGCAAAUACAAACUGCUUGUUUAUUCCCUGUCCAGGUUCAUUGGGUACAGUGGCGGUAGGAACUGAUUUGCAUGAUUGCCAGAGCACCCUCGUUAAGUCUCUCUUCCCUGACCUUGCUUGGAGCAGAGCUCCCUCAGAGGACUCAGUACUGAAAUCCCUGGCCAAGGUUUUGAAAAACAAUUUAUGAUUUAAGCCCAUUGACGGAAACAGUUCUGGAUGCCAGUUAUUUAAUUAAUGACUGUGGUGUACUGGACUAUGUAAACUGAAACAAGAUGCUGGAGUCCAACUGUCUGUACCUCUAAAUGGAGGGUAUUCAUCCUAGAGCAUUAGCAGCAGCAUCCAUUUUGCUGUAUGAAGAGGCAGAAUGAGCAAUCUUGUGGCAUCUCUCUCUCCCUUUCACAGAGAUUAGUUGUUGUUGCUGUUCUUGUUUCUUCACCUGAAAGAAAAAUAAUUUGGAGUGAAAAAAUACAUGGUUGUCUCUUGAGAAAUGGGGAUAAAUGCAAGGCCCUUGGGGUCAUACUACAACCUCAUCUGGCUUCUGACACAAGUGUCCAGGAUUUGAAAAAAAGCAGAGCUUACCUUUCCUGUUCUGAUCUUCAACCCAGAAUUCCUAGUUAAAAUUCUGCUUCCUUACCUGCAUUUAAAAGUUUAUGGAAAAAUUUUCCCAACUCUGCAUUUGCAUUUUGCAUGUCUACACAGACGUGUUUCUCCAAGAAUAGAAUUUCACAUUGUGCGCACAUUUGCAUGGUUUGUUAUUUUCGUCAGGAGGCACUUAAAAUGCAGAAAACCUGAGCACUUGCCUUUUGUGGAAAAAUUUAGGAAUGAAGAACAUGUUCGUGACAUCAUUCAAGGGAAACAGCUAGAAGAUAUGACCCAUGAGAAGUGUUGUGCAACACUCCACAUUGGCCAGUGGAAACUGUUCCCAUCCAAGACACCGGUCCAUUUUUCAUUUAAACAGAGGGCAAGUUAGCCCAAUACAGAACAUUUUUGAAAAUAAAAUCCAUCUGUGACCAAGGCA